rnacentral:lncRNA from 1 species
AAGAGAUCAGUGGCAGAUCAAGAGGGGAUGGUGUAUGCCAUCCCGCUAUAUUUGCCCCCAAUAUUUAUUUAAUGUUUUUCAUGUUUCGCAUGAAUCAUCCAAAAUAAUUAAGCCUCGCAUCUCUAGGCAGUAUUAUAUCCGCUUAUGGAAUUACAACCCCCUUUUAAAAAUCCUGGAUUCACCCCUGGAGAUCACAUUUGAGAGCAGGAAUCUAACAACUUUACUUUGUUCAUAUACAGUGUAAAAUGAAUCACGACAUUUACUGUUUAAAAUACACUGUAUACUUUAAUGUUUUUUACAAACAGAUGUUAACUAACAGUUGUACAUAAAGACUUGAUGAAAAAUUGAUGAAAAAAUUCUCUUGUUCAUUGAGAAAUGAU